rnacentral:rRNA from 1 species
GACGAACGCUGGCGGCGUGCUUAACACAUGCAAGUCGAACGGAAAGGCCCUGCUUUUGUGGGGUGCUCGAGUGGCGAACGGGUGAGUAACACGUGAGUAACCUGCCCUUGACUUUGGGAUAACUUCAGGAAACUGGGGCUAAUACCUGAUAGGAGCUCCUGCUGCAUGGUGGGGGUUGGAAAGUUUCGGCGGUUGGGGAUGGACUCGCGGCUUAUCAGCUUGUUGGUGGGGUAGUGGCUUACCAAGGCUUUGACGGGUAGCCGGCCUGAGAGGGUGACCGGCCACAUUGGGACUGAGAUACGGCCCAGACUCCUACGGGAGGCAGCAGGGGGGAAUAUUGCACAAUGGGCGGAAGCCUGAUGCAGCAACGCCGCGUGCGGGAUGAAGGCCUUCGGGUUGUAAACCGCUUUCGCCUGUGACGAAGCGUGAGUGACGGUAAUGGGUAAAGAAGCACCGGCUAACUACGUG